UCGCAACUAUUGUUAUGUAUAUGACUUUUUUUAUCUACUGCAAAAAUCCAGAACGUACUCCGCUGUGGCUUGCACAAAUAUACAUUCGGUGGAAGCAAGAGUGAACGUUCAUUAGUACGUCGGGAACACCAAAAGGAUAAAUGACGGGUAUUAGCAUGGUGAAGUUUACCAGAUGGAUGCACAACUUUUGAAAUCUUUCCGUUUGCAGAGCUUUCCAAGAACAGGGAGAGAUUUAUGCUUGAAUACCUGUUCUGAGGAUCCACGAAGCUUCCUGUUGAGUCAGAGAGAAAAUAAUGCCACUCAGAGAGUGAGUGAGAGAAUUCGGUCUCUCACAGGAUGUGUUUGACAUUGUAGAGGAGUAUAAAUAAUGCAGAUUUUCUCUCCUCCUCUUCCUUCACGUGCUUUCUGAAGGAACAGAUUUACAGACGUUUGUGCAUUGAAUCUUUCAUUGACAUCGCUCUCGUUAAGCAACGGAGGAUUUGUUCCAAAACGGGCAUUGUUUUCAGCGUAACCUUCUAUAAACAAGUUCAAAUUAGCCGUUAACAACCUCGCGAAAUGGGACGAUUAAUUUGCGGGUUCCUGUUGGUUUUUUUGCAUUUACAUCUUUCUUUGUACCGAUUGCGGACAAUUAUGUACGGAUAUGCUAAUCGUGCUGUAUUAAUGAGAUAUUUCUGCUGUAGCAGUCCUGCCAUGGAGUGACAGAGCCAAGGAUGGGGAUUUACUAGAUGAAAAGAGAGAGAGCGAGAGAGAAUGGUUAAUAUCCUGUGCUUAAUCAUGGCACAUGAGAUUGGCUGUAUGCAUAUCUCAUUUGCAUCUCAUUAAAUUGCUCGUGCACCUGCAGAGAGAGGG